rnacentral:rRNA from 1 species
ACUCCUACGGGAGGCAGCAGUGGGAAAUAUUGGACAAUGGGCGAAAGCCUGAUCCAGCCAUGCCGCGUGAGUGAUGAAGGCCUUCGGGUUGUAAAGCUCUUUUGGCGGGGACGAUGAUGACGGUACCCGCAGAAUAAGCCCCGGCUAACUUCGUGCCAGCAGCCGCGGUAAUA